rnacentral:rRNA from 1 species
UGGCGGCAGGCCUAACACAUGCAAGUCGAGCGCCGUAGCAAUACGGAGCGGCAGACGGGAGAGUAACACGUGGGAACGUACCCUUUGGUUCGGAACAACCCAGGGAAACUUGGGCUAAUACCGGAUAAGCCCUUACGGGGAAAGAUUCAUCGCCGAAGGAUCGGCCCGCGUCUGAUUAGCUAGUUGGUGGGGUAAUGGCCCACCAAGGCGACGAUCAGUAGCUGGUCUGAGAGGAUGAUCAGCCUCACUGGGACUGAGACACGGCCCAGACUCCUACGGGAGGCAGCAGUGGGGAAUAUUGGACAAUGGGCGCAAGCCUGAUCCAGCCAUGCCGCGUGGGUGAUGAAGGCCCUAGGGUUGUAAAGCCCUUUCGGCGGGGAAGAUAAUGACGGUACCCGCAGAAGAAGCCCCGGCUAACUUCGUGCCAGCAGCCGCGGUAAUACGAAGGGGGCUAGCGUUGCUCGGAAUCACUGGGCGUAAAGCGCACGUAGGCGGAUUGUUAAGUCAGGGGUGAAAUCCUGNAGCUCA